UCUGGCACAUGGACAGAUGGC
rnacentral:miRNA from 1 species